UAUUAGGUUUGUGCAAAAGUAAUUGCGGUUAUUGCCGUUGAAAGUAAUGGCAAAAACCGCAGUUACUUUUG
rnacentral:miRNA from 1 species